rnacentral:piRNA from 1 species
UAACCACAGCAGCUCAGGAC